rnacentral:rRNA from 1 species
AAAAAUCAGGUAGCAUCCUUGCCGUGGCAAAGAUGAAAAGAACAUUGAAAAAAGAGUCAAAGAGUGCUUGAAAACGUCGGGAAGGAAGCGGAUGCGGGUCGACGAUGCGUCCCGGUCGGAUGUGGAACGACAACGAGCAGAUCCGUCGAUCGACGCGGGGUGUGGACCAACACGAAUCGAGGCAACGGCCAAAGCCCGGGCAGUUGAUACAUCUACAGAACACCAUCGCCCUGAUUAUGGUGGACAACAUGAGCCCUCGGCAUGCCUCGACACCUGUACGCUCCCGGUGCUGGCCUGCGGACUCCCCAUUCGACCCGUCUUGAAACACGGACCAAGGAGUCUGACAUGCGUGCGAGUCAAUAGCGCGAGUAAACCCAUGAGGUGCGAGGAAGCUUAUUGACGUGAUUCCCCAUAGGGGUGCAACACUGAUCGACCUCGAUCUUCUGAGAAGGGUUUGAGUGCGAGCAUACCUGUUGGAACCCGAAAGAUGCUAAACUAUCCUGAGUAGGACGAAGCCAGAGGAAACUCUAGUGGAGGCCCAUAGCGAUACUGACGUGCAAAUCGUUCGUCUGACUUGGGUAUAGGGCGAAAGACUAAUCGAACCAUCCAAUAGUUGGUUUCCUCUGAAGUUUUCCUCAGGAUAGUUGGAGCUCGGGCGCGAGUUCUAUCGGGUAAAGCCAAUGAUUAGAGGCAUCGGAGGCCCAAUGCCCUCAACCUUUUCUCAAACUUUAAAUAGUCAGAACGACGUGGCUGCUUCGUUGAGCAGCACCACGAAAUCGAGAGCUCGAAGUGGGCCAUUUUUGGUAAGCAUAACUGGCGAUGGGGGAUUAAACGAAGGUUAGGUUACGGUGCCCAACUACACGCUAACCUAGAUCCCACAAAGGGUGUUGGUCGAUUAAGACAGUAGGACGGUGGUCAUGGAAGUCGAAAUCCGCUAAGGAGUGUGUUACAACUCACCUGUUGAAUCAACUAGCCCCGAAAAUGGAUGGCACUAAAGCGCACGACCUAUACCCAGCCGCCAGGGCAAGCGCCAGGCCCCAAUGAGUAGGAGGGUACGACGGUCGCUGCAAAACCUUAGGUGCGAGCCCAGGCUGAGUGACCGUUGGUGUGGAUCUUGGUGGUAGUAACAAAUAUUCAAAUGGAAACUUUGAAAGCUGAAGAGGAGAAAGGUUUCGUGUGAAUGGUAAUUGCACACGGGUUUGUCGAUCCUAAGGGUCGGGGGAAAGCCCGAUAGACAGCGCGUUUCGGGAGUACGCCAAAAUUGAAUCAGGUUAAAAUUCCUGAACCGAGACGCGGCGGUUGACGGCAGCGUUAGGGAGUUCGGAGAUGUCGACGGGGGCCUCGGGAAGAGUUAUCUUUUUCGUUUAACAGCCUGCCAACCCUAGAAAUGGCUCAGUUGGAGGUAGGGUCUAGCGGCUGGAAGAGCACCACACGUCUCAUGGUGUUCGAUGCGCCCCCAACGGCCCUGGAAAAUUCGGAGGAUCAAGUACCGUCCGCGCUCGGUUGUACUCAUAAUCGCAUUAGGUCUCCAAGGUGGACAGUCUCUGGUCAAUGGAACAAUGUAGGCAAGGAAAGUCAGCAAAAUGGAUCCGUAACUUCGGGAAAAAGAUUGCCUCUGAGACUAGGCACGGGGAUCCCAGUCCCAAACCCGUCGACUGUCGAUGGACUGCUCGAACUACUCCUACAGUGAGAGAGAGUCAUCGUGUGCCGAUCGGGGGAUGGACUGGGAACGGCUCCUUCAGGGGCCUUCUCCGAGCAUCGAACGGUCGACUCAAAAUUGGUACGGACAAGGGGAAUCUAACAGUUUAAUUAAAAUAAAGCAUCGCGAUGGUCCCUGUGGAUGAUCACGCAAUGUGAUUUUUGCCCAGUGCUCUGAAUGUCAAAGUAAAGAAAUUCAACCAAGCGUAGGUAAAUGAUGGGAGUAACAAUGACUCUCUUAAGGUAGCCAAAUGCCUCGUCAUCUAAUUAGUGAUGCGCAUGAAUGGACUAACGAGAUUCCCAUUGUCCCUAUCUACUAUCUAGCAAAACCAUAGCCAAGGGAAUGGGCUUGGCAGAAUCAACGGGAAAAGAAGACACUAUUGAGCUUGACUCUAGUCUGACUUUGUGAAAUGAUUUGAGAGGUGUAGGAUAAGCGGAAGUCGAAAGGCGAAGGUGAAAUACCACUACUUUUAACGUUAUUUUACUUAUUUUGUGAAUCGGAGGCGGGGCACUGUCCCUCUUUUUGGGCCCAACGCUCGCUUUGCAGGUCGAUCCAGGUGGAAAACAUUGUCAGGUGUGGAGUUUGACUGGGCUAGCACAUUUGUUAAUAGAUAACGCAGGUGUCCUAAGAUGAGCUCAACGAGAACAGAAAUCUCGUGUGGAAUAGAAAGGUAAAAGCUCAUUUGAUUCUGAUUUCCAGUACGAAUAUGAACCGUGAAAUCGUGGCCUAACGACCCUUUAGACCUUCGAAAUUUGAAGCUAGAGGUGUCAGAAAAGUUACUACAGCGAUAAUGGCUUGUGGCAGCUAAGCGUUCAUAGCGACGUUGCUUUUUUAUCCUUCGAUGUCGGCUCUUCCUAUCAUUGUGAAGUAGAAUUCACCAAGUGUUGGACUGUUCACCCACCAAUAGAGAACGUAAGAUAGGUUUAGACCAUCAUGAGAUAGGUUAGUUUUACCCUAUUGAUGAUAGUGUCGCAAUAUUAAUUCAACCUAGUACGAGAGGAACUAUUGAUUCGCACAAUCGAUCAUCGCCCUUGGUUGAAAAGCCAAUAGCGUGAAGCUACUGUGCGCUAGAUUAUGACUAAACUCCUCUAAGUUAGAAUCUGGGCUAGAAGUGACACGUGCACCCACCGUCCACUUGCCGACCCGU